CCUACGGGGUGCUGCAGUGGGGAAUAUUGCACAAUGGGGGGAACCCUGAUGCAGCAACGCCGCGUGAGUGAAGAAGUAUCUCGGUAUGUAAAGCUCUAUCAGCAGGGAAGAAAAUGACGGUACCUGACUAAGAAGCACCGGCUAAAUACGUGCCAGCAGCCGCGGUAAUACGUAUGGUGCAAGCGUUAUCCGGAUUUAUUGGGUUUAAAGGGUGCGUAGGCGGGCCUUCAGGCCGGCGGUAAAAUUGCGGGGCUCAACCCCGCCGAGCCGUCGGAACCGGGGGCCUUGAGUACCGGAGAAGUACGCGGAAUGCGUGGUGUAGCGGUGAAAUGCAUAGAUAUCACGCAGAACCCCGAUUGCGAAGGCAGCGUACCGGCCGGUCACUGACGCUGAGGCACGAAAGCGCGGGUAUCGAACAGGAUUAGAUACCCGGGUAGUC
rnacentral:rRNA from 1 species